rnacentral:SRP_RNA from 1 species
GCUGCAUGCAGUGUUGCACCUGUAGUCCCAGCUAAUGGGGAGGCUGAGGCAGGAGGAUCGCUUGAGCCCAGGAGUUCUAGGCUGUGAUGCUCUAUGUUGAUUGGGUGUCUGCACUGAGUUUGGCAUCAAUAUGGUGACCUCCUGUGAGCAGGGGACCACAGCAUUGCCUGAGGAGGGGUGAACAGGCCCAGGUCAGAAACAGAGCAGGUGAAAACCCCCACACCAACGAGCCAAUGCCCUCUAGCCUGGGCAGUAUCAUGGCAAGACCCUGUCUCU